GAGCCCAAGAUUGAAAGCUGGCGUCUUCGGCGUCCGCAUUGUAAUCUCAAGAAGUGUUUUCCGCUUCGGACCAAGCCUAAGUCCCCUGGAAAGGGGCAUCAUAGAGGGUGAUAAUCCCGUACAUGGCUUGGAGCGCCCGAGGCUUUGUGAUACGCUUUCUAAGAGUCGAGUUGUUUGGGAAUGCAGCUCAAAAUGGGUGGUAAAUGCCAUCUAAGGCUAAAUAUUGGGGAGAGACCGAUAGCGAACAAGUACAGUGAUGGAAAGAUGAAAAGAACUUUGAAAAGAGAGUUAAACAGUACGUGAAAUUGCCAAAAGGGAAGGGUAGGAGGUCAGAGAUGCGUCGCAGGAUUCAGCCUUGCUUUUGCUUGGUGUUUUUCCUGCGUUGCAGGCCAACGUCGGUUUUGGGCACUGGAGAAGGGUAGGAGGAACGUGGCACCUCUCGGGGUGUGUUAUAGCCUCCUACUGGAUACAGCGACCGAGACCGAGGACAGCAGCGUACUCGCAAGAGCGGGCCUUCGGGCACCUUUACGCUUAGGGCGUUGGCAUAAUGGCCCUCUACCACCCGUCUUGA
rnacentral:rRNA from 1 species